rnacentral:sRNA from 1 species
GACUCCCGGCUCUGAGCCUUACUUGCGGUGGCCGGACUUGUCUGUGGCUGAAGCCGAGCCCGGGCUCUGACUCUCACGUCUGCACUGGAGGCCUUGGCCAGUUUGGACGGUGAUGGAAACAUUUCUGGAUUUUAGCGUCUAAGGGAGCACUCAAGGGCUGUAAGGUCACAGCGGAGUGAAUCAGCUCGGUGGUGUCUUUGUCAACGGGCGGCCACUGCCGGACUCCACCCGGCAGAAGAUUGUAGAGCUAGCUCACAGCGGGGCCCGGCCGUGCGACAUUUCCCGAAUUCUGCAGACCCAUGCAGAUGCAAAAGUCCAAGUGCUGGACAAUCAAAACGUGUCCAACGGAUGUGUGAGUAAAAUUCUGGGCAGGUAUUACGAGACUGGCUCCAUCAGACCCAGGGCAAUCGGUGGUAGUAAACCGAGAGUAGCGACUCCAGAAGUUGUAAGCAAAAUAGCCCAGUAUAAGCGGGAGUGCCCGUCCAUCUUUGCUUGGGAAAUCCGAGACAGAUUACUGUCCGAGGGGGUCUGUACCAACGAUAACAUACCAAGUGUAAGUUCAUUGAGAAGAUCUGCCCUCCCUGCCCUAAGCCCAAUGCUCUCUCCUCUUUACCUCCUCCCACCCUCUCUCUCCACUGUCUCUUAGUCUG